UCCUGGAUGUCUCAGUGGUAUAGAAUCUGCCUGCAAUGCAGGAGACCUGGGUUCAAUCCCUGUGUUAGGAA
rfam:Ovis aries breed Texel chromosome 2, whole genome shotgun sequence.